AUCGCCGUAGUCUAGAGGUUAUGACAUGUGGCUUUCAAACAACUGAGAGCACCCACAAGACCCGGGUUCGAGCCCCGGCGGCGAUA